rnacentral:misc_RNA from 1 species
GAUGAAGAACGCAGCGAAAUGCGAUAAGUAAUGUGAAUUCAGAAUUCAGUGAAUCAUCGAAUCUUUGAACGCACAUUGCGCCCCUUGGUAUUCCGAGGGGCAUGCCUGUUCGAGCGUCAUUAUAACCCCUCAAGCUCAGCUUGGUGUUGGGGCCUGCUGCACUGGCAGCCCUUAAAAUCAGUGGCGGCGCCAUCUGGCUCUAAGCGUAGUAAUUCUUCUCGCUAUGGAGUCCUGGUGGAUGCUUGCCAUCAACCCCCAAUUUUUCUAUGGUUGACCUCGGAUCAGGUAGGGAUACCCGCUGAACUUAAGCAUAUCAAUAAGCGGAGGA